CAUAGGAGGGCCUGGUAAAAUGCAUGAUCAGAUUUGAAGAAACCUUUCUGUAUACUUUCUGUUCUAUGGUGUUGCAUCUUUCCAUGCUAAUUGGCUGGUGUUUUUGUGUCCGGCUGUCCUCUAAUAAAUUAUAAUAGUUUGGUAGUUUAUUUUAUCCAAUAUCAACUUGAAUAUAAAAUACUAAAAUGGAGUCAGAAAUGUCCACAUGUGACCAGGGGACUGAUAGCCAAUCACCAGUCUCAGAGCACAAUUCAUUGAGUGAAAAUCAGAUUCCAGGUUGACUAAGGCCAUUGAAAAAGAAGUGUGUGGUGGUAGAAUAGCCAAAGUAGUAUCAGUAAGGUUGGAGGAGUCGUUUGAAGGCUGCCAUCAACAGAAGCUAUGUCCAUACCAGUUAAGUGUGACUCCAGUGUGAUGACAUCAG